rnacentral:rRNA from 1 species
GGUCGCCUACGGGAGGCAGCAGUGGGGAAUAUUGCACAAUGGGGGGAACCCUGAUGCAGCGACGCCGCGUGGGUGAAGGAGUACUUCGGUACGUAAAGCCCUAUCAGCAGGAAAGAAAAUGACGGUACCUGAGUAAGAAGCCCCGGCUAACUACGUGCCAGCAGCCGCGGUAAUACGUAGGGGGCAAGCGUUAUCCGGAUUUACUGGGUGUAAAUGUAGCGUAGACGGCCAGACAAGUCUGAAGUGAAAAUCCAGCGCUUAACGUU